GGAGGUGUGUUGAUGCAGAGCAACACUCCAAUAAAAAAUGAUGAAGAUUUCUCAAGGUGGGAGGUUGUUUGUGCAAGUUUUCAAAGAUUAUUAAAGAUGAAGAAACUUGAAAUUCAGAGAGUGAUUUAUGCAAUGAUUUGGGGUUGUUUUAUGUAUUAUUAUUGUGUCAUUUGUGAAUGAAAAGAUGGUUUAGGAAUUAUGAAAAAAUAUAAAAAGUGUGAGUAAAUUUAGAUGAAUUUGAAUGCAUUUGAUUGUGAAUUUGAAUUUAUCAUGAAAAUAUCUCAAUUUUAAUUUCA
rnacentral:lncRNA from 1 species